UAAGGAAUAUUGGUCAAUGGGCGCAAGCCUGAACCAGCCAUGCCGCGUGCAGGAUGACGGCCCUAUGGGUUGUAAACUGCUUUUGUACGGGAAAAAACCCUCCGACGUGUCGGGGGCUGAUGGUACCGUAAGAAUAAGGAUCGGCUAACUCCGUGCCAGCAGCCGCGGUAAUACGGAGGAUCCUAGCGUUAUCCGGAUUUAUUGGGUUUAAAGGGUGCGCAGGCGGAAUUAUAAGUCAGUGGUGAAAUCCUGCAGCUUAACUGCAGAACUGCCAUUGAUACUGUUAUUCUUGAGUAUAUUUGAAGUGGGCGGAAUGUGUCAUGUAGCGGUGAAAUGCUUAGAUAUGACACAGAACACCAAUUGCGAAGGCAGCUCACUAAACUAUAACUGACGCUCAUGCACGAAAGCGUGGGGAUCAAACAGG
rnacentral:rRNA from 1 species